UAAGGGAACCUCGAGUGCCAGGUUACAAAUCUGGCUGUCGUGAUGCCUAAAAAAGCAUUGCAUAGCAAGGGCCGGGCAAGACCGGUGCCAGCCGCCGCGGUAACACCGGCGGCUCGAGUGGUAACCGUUAUUAUUGGGUCUAAAGGGUCUGUAGCCGGCCGGAUAAGUCUCUUGGGAAAUCUGGCAGCUUAACUGUCAGGCUUUCAGGAGAUACUGUCUGGCUCGAGGCCGGGAGAGGUGAGAGGUAC
rnacentral:rRNA from 1 species